rnacentral:lncRNA from 1 species
GAAAUCCUAAAAGACUCUAAAUAAGUUUAAAAAGUCAUUAAGAAAAACAGAAAUAAUCCCGUCCUAUGAAGAAAUGACAAAAAGCUAAUGGUAAAUAGUUUUACUUUAUAUGAACCAUGUUUUGCAAUAAAAAGGGACAUAAACUCAAAGAUGACAAAGGACAAUUUAUUAGGAAAUAGAUAAAGGUAUAACGCUGCAACAAUAACAAAAACCCACAGGAGGAUAUCAUUACCGUAGAAACAUGUAUGAUUGUAUGAAGGUGUAACCCUACUUCGUGUACAACCAGUGAAGUGAAAAAAUGUACUCCAUUUGUAUACAAUGAAUCAAAGAGCAUUCUUCUGUCAUGUAUACCUGAUUAGAAUUUAAAAAAAAAAAACCCACAGGAAACCAAGUGGCCUUCUGUCAAUAGCCCAUAGGACAACCACGAGGUCCUUAUGAAAGCCAGAAGGACGCUGGUCAGUGUUGGAUUAGCUACUCCUUGAUCCAGUCCAUGUCCACGUCUACCAACCACCCUUCCAGCACAGGGCCGCAUGGCUCAAGCUAGUAGGGAACACUGUGGGGUCCUGAGACGCCCGCUUUCCGCCAAUCAGAAAGCAGGCGCAAGGCCCCACCCACGCCACGGCCAAUCGGAGUCAAUGCCAGGCCACGCCCAACCCACGGCCAAUCAGAGAGCCAAUGCUAGGUCCCGCCCUAGCCACCCGCAGCUGACCCUAACCUUAACCCCGCCCGGCGGGCCCAGGCGCGGGCGGGACCUCGGCCCUAAGUAGACCCUCGGGGCGGUCACCGCGAUGAGCCCGGAAAGAGCUGCCCACAGCAGGUCCCCCGAGGUCGCGCCGCCGACGUUCACGCUCGUCGCCCCCGCGCUCUUCCUCGGCAACGCGCGCGCCGCGGGCGCCACGGAACUGCUGCAGCGCUCGGGUAUCACGUUAUGUGUCAACGUCUCCCGCCUGCAGCCCGGCCCAAGCGCGCCCGGAGUGGCCGAGCUGCGGGUGCCCGUUUUCGACGACCCGCACGAGGACCUGCUGGUGCAUCUGGAGCCCACCUGUGCCGCCAUGGAGGCCGCGGUGCGCGCCGGUGGCGCCUGCCUGGUCUACUGCAAGAACGGUCGCAGCCGCUCAGCCGCUGUCUGCACUGCCUACCUCAUGCGAUACCGCGGCCUCUCCCUGGAACGGGCCUUUCAGGUUGGGGCUUCCGGGGCGGGGCCCGCUUUCGAGGGUGCGUCUUCCGGUAGGGGGCGGGGCGGGGCCCACCCAGAGAAGGCCCUCUGGCUUGACUGGGCGUGGCCUCUCCGGCCGGGGCGGGGUCCACUCGGGGGCGGGCCUUCUAGAUGGGCGGGGCCUGCUCUCAAGGGCGGGCCUUCCGCGCGGCUGCUCUCGCCUGGCGUGGCCCGAGUUCUGCGAAACCAGCGCGGGCUGACGUUGGGUUCCUCUCUUGUUCGCAGACUGUCAAGAUCGCCCGCCCUGUAGCCGAACCCAAUCCGGGUUUCUGGUGUCAGCUCGAGAAGUACGAGCAGAUCAUCCAGGCCCAGGCCCGCCAGUCCCGCCAGGCCCGGGAGCCCGCUGACCCCGGAAGUGCGCGACAUGGACCCCAGCCAGCCGCGCGGUAGCCUUCAGAAGCCGGGCGGGAAGGGCGUUUGCUAACGAGAGGCGGGACGUGCCCUGGUCACCGCCGCGGCUGGGCUCCACCUCCCCCAAGCCGCGUCUUCCCGAAGUGCAGUUCAAAGGAGGGGACUGGGAAUCCGCUGCCAAGACCGACCAUCUCUUCCUCUCACCCUUGGUCAGCUUCGUUUGUUCGUAGGUUUUGGUCAAAUCUAAACCAGAGGUGGGGACGGGGACCGGAUCCCAGCUGCCAGAACUCCUCCUGCCCUUUCCCAGCGCUGAGCGUGGGACCCACAGCUGAGGGCAUGCGCUGCUCAGGCCUGCUGGAGCCUCAGUGCUUAGGGA